rnacentral:lncRNA from 1 species
GAGCAUGUUCACACUGCUGUAUGCUUGUGGAGGCCAGAAGACAACUUUCUGGAGCAGGUUCUUGCCUUCUACUGUGGGCUGUGAGGAUCAAACUCAGACUGGCAGGCUGACUCAGCAAGUGCUUUAUACCUGCUGAGUCACUUCACUGGCCCAAAGCCAAUUACUUUUUGUUGUUGUUGUUUAUUUUUCUAGACAGGGUCUCAUUAUAUAGCUCUGACUGUCCUAGAACUCAUUAUGUAGAAUAGGCUUUUCUCAAACUCACGGAGAUUCACUGGCUUCUGCCUUCCAAGUGCACCGCUGCCCCUGGCUCUUCCCAGUUACUUCUAAAAAGACUGAAAAUAGUAAGAAAAAGGAAAAAAAGGAUCAAUUUAACCUCAUACUAUUUCUGGUGUGGUUCAUUACUUUGUAUAAAUCUAAUUUUCAUAAGGUAUCACAUUCCCUUUGCCCAUAGAGCUUUAGUUAUCAUUUCUUUUAUGCACAUCUGUUAUAGACAAUGUGUCUGUCCUCUUCAGUUUUUGCUGGUCUGAAAAGUUUAAGAACAGAAGCUUAUGUAUCCCAGAUGUCUUCCAAGGAUGACCUUGGCCUCCUGACCCUCCUGCCUGAAGCUCUUGAGCGUUGGGAUUACAGUACAGGAGUGUACUCUUGGUUUAUGUGAUACUAGAGAUCAAUCCAGAGACUCACAGGGCUAGACUCUCUAGCUACUAAAACUGAACUAAAGCUCUAGUUACUGUUGGAAAAAGUUUGGAGAGACAGAGUGACUGCGAGCCUGUAAUCCUAGCUCAUGGGAGGCUGAGGCAAGAAAAUGAUUGUAAAUUUAAGAUCAGCAUAGACUACAUCGGGAAUUCUAGGCCAGCCUGGGCUAUAGUGUGAGACCCCAUCUC